GACUCCAUGGCCCAAUGGAUAAGGUGUUGGUCUACGAAACCAGAGAUGCUGGGUUCGAUCUCCAGUGGAGUCG
rnacentral:tRNA from 1 species